rnacentral:rRNA from 1 species
UACGUAGGGACCAAGCGUUGUUCGGAUUUACUGGGCGUAAAGGGCGCGUAGGCGGCAAUUCAAGUCAGCUGUGAAAUCUCCGGGCUUAACUCGGAACGGUCAGCUGAUACUGCUUUGCUAGAGUGCAGAAGGGGCAAUCGGAAUUCUUGGUGUAGCGGUGAAAUGCGUAGAUAUCGGGAGGAACACCUAUGGCGUAAGCAGGCUUCUGGGCCAUCAUUGACGCUGAUCUGCGAAAGCUAGGGGAGCAAACAGG